GAAGGAUUCACAUUUUAAACUUUUUCCCACAAACAAACAAACAAACAAACAAACAUAAAGCCCCCUCCAAGCUGGGUAGACAAAUCCUAGAACUUGAUGGGGAAAAUGGCUAAUCAGCUUGAAAUGAUAAAGACAAACUUAUAACUGAGGGAAAAUUCUUGAUUGUUUUGAGAAGGCAUCUAACUAUUUUUAGAAUGCUAGAAAUUUCUCUGCAACUUGUGUUAUUGAUAUUAUUAAAUAAGAACUACUCAAGGGAAUCUUUUCACUUCUUUUGGAACAUAAAGUACUCGGGUCAAAGUUAAGUAAACACUAGAUUGCAUUAAAUCCUUAUCUUCUCUAACCAUUAAGCAUCAGGCAUGAUUUGAUUCAAAUGGUGUUUCACAAUCAAAAGAGGCAAAAAAUGUAAACAAAAAGAUGUUCAUCUGCUUCUUUUUGAUAUGUAGUUUUGUUUUUAUGACAACUGUUAAUUAUGAGAGAAUUUUAGGGAAAAUAUAAAUUACCCUUAUCAUAUGGGAUUUUCAUAAAAACUAAUAGGAUUUGUUUCUGGUGAUUAUAAAAACAUAUGUUUAAAGGCAAAAACCAUUUAAACCAUGCUCAUAUAUAAGUCAGGGUUUUGUAGAUAAAACAGAAACUGCUCUAAGAAGUCUAAUGAAAAAAUAUCUUGAUCCAUAUAUAAAGUCUGUGCACUGUUGGAGCAGCUGAAGGAGCAAUAGUUAGUGAAGUAACUGCCACCAAUGUCAGCUUCCUGCUGCACCAACAUGGUUGACCCUUACCUGCUCAUGUGAAAUGAUUGAUGAACUUUACUUCAGCUCCACAGCCAAGGGGCUCCUGGCAACUCCUGCUAGACACUAAUGAUAUCUCCUUCUCUACUGUCUUCCAGAUCUCAUGAGAAAUCUGCCUUUUGUGCAGACCCUAAACCAAAAUCUUAGAAAAAGCGAUUGGAUGCAGGGGUUCUUUCCUGCAAUACAGAGGAGGAUAUAUAAGGGAGCAUGGAGUCAUGGUGAGCAUACCUGUUGUGGUGUGGAUAUUGAAUGUUUCCCAGACGCCCAUGUGUUCAAGGCUCAGUCCCAGCUUCUCAAAAAAAUGCAGUGGAACUGGAUGUGGAAAUAUUGUUCUGGACUGAAGAAGUCUGAUUACAAUGGAGACUAAACCAAUUUGGAGAAAGUGGAAAUUUUCAUCCUUUCACAGUUUCUAGAGGAAAAGAACUGCAUUAUCUUGAAAACUUGCAUACAGACACAUCCUCAAAGACCAGAGCUUCACAGUAAAAACUCCACUCCGAGGCCCAACCAACCAUUGCACUCAUAUUUGUCAUCUCCCUCACGAUGUUUCUCCACCUGCAAGACAGGAAAUGCCUCAAAAGCAGAACUUCUGCUAUUGGAAGCUGUGUGAACUUCCACUCACCUAACCAAGAAAUAAGGAAAGUGAAAAGACAGCAUCAAAACUUCUGGAACAUCAUCCCAGGGAACCUCCAUGAAGAGAAGAGGAUAUGUGUGUUCCUCACAGGCCAGGCACUGGAGCAGCUGACAGGCUCUGAAGGAAGAUAUAGUCCCAAGCCUGGCUUUCAGCUGCACAAUAAAUGAAGCACCGAGACUUUCCUGGUGUAGUCAAGCCCUAUGUCUUGGAAAAUCUUUGGUCCUCCAGCUCUACUUGUUACCCACUCUUCAUUGUUUGAGAGAGGUAAAGAAGGAAGGGCAGGAACAAGGGGAAAAAAAGAGAACCAAGACCUGCCAUGUAAAGCCCUGCCUUCUGAAACACUCUGCCUGCAUUAGAUUUCAGAGGAGGACUAUUGAUACUAUAAUCCUGCUACACUAUUGAUUCAAUAAAAUCCUUAAAGCAUUAGCAGUGGAGAGAGAACUAAUGAAUGCCAGUUCUUUCAAUGGACAAAUAAGGUACGUGAUUUUUCAAGAAGGGAAAUCAUCCGAUUAAUACAAGGUCACUCUGGGAUUGUAAUCCAGGUUUCCUGACUCCCACUUAAAUAUUCUUUUUUCUCCACAACAGAAUUUCUUAGGUUAGCAAAGAAUUAGAUACCACAAAUAAUAAUUUUUUUACUCAUGAAACAAGCCAUUUAGCUGCCUGAUUUGUGCCAAUAUUGUACUGAAA